AAAGGAAUAGACGGGGGCCCGCACAAGCAGUGGAGUAUGUGGUUUAAUUCGAAGCAACGCGAAGAACCUUACCAGGUCUUGACAUCAGAUGCAUACCUAAGAGAUUAGGGAAGUCCUUCGGGACAUCUAGACAGGUGGUGCAUGGUUGUCGUCAGCUCGUGUCGUGAGAUGUUGGGUUAAGUCCCGCAACGAGCGCAACCCUUAUCAUUAGUUACUACGAAAGAGGACUCUAAUGAGACUGCCGUUGACAAAACGGAGGAAGGUGGGGAUGACGUCAAAUCAUCAUGCCCUUUAUGACCUGGGCUACACACGUACUACAAUGGCAAUUAACAGAGGGAAGCAAUACCGCGAGGUGGAGCCAACCCCAGAAAAAUUGUCUCAGUUCGGAUUGGAGGCUGCAACUCGCCUCCAUGAAGCCGGAAUUGCUAGUAAUCGCGGAUCAGCAUGCCGCGGUGAAUACGUUCCCGGGCCUUGUACACACCGCCCGU
rnacentral:rRNA from 1 species